rnacentral:lncRNA from 1 species
AUGGGGCACCCACCAGCACACAAGCAGUUAUCACCUCUGGGAGGUGCCCCCGUGAGUGGCAGCCAGCUCCCACCCCUGGAAUUGGUCCCAGGACACAGCGACCAUCGCCCCUGGCUGGGAGCACCUCCAUGGCCGGGGAGCUGCUCCCGUGUGGUCACCAGCACCUGGAAUGCUGCAGGGAAAGGCUGGGAAUGCAGGGAAGCACUGGGAAUGCUGCAGGGAAAGGCUGGGAAUGCAGGGAAGCACUGGGAAUGCUGCAGGGAAAGGCUGGGAAUGCAGGGAAGCACUGGGAAUGCUGCAGGGAAAGGCUGGGAAUGCAGGGAAGCACUGGGAAUGCUGCAGGGAAAGGCUGGGAAUGCAGGGAAGCACUGGGAAUGCUGCAGGGAAAGGCUGGGAAUGCAGGGAAGCACUGGGAAUGCUGCAGGGAAAGGCUGGGAAUGCAGGGAAGCACUGGGAAUGCUGCAGGGAAAGGCUGGGAAUGCAGGGAAGCACUGGGAAUGCUGCAGGGAAAGGCUGGGAAUGCAGGGAAGCACUGGGAAUGCUGCAGGGAAAGGCUGGGAAUGCAGGGAAGCACUGGGAAUGCUGCAGGGAAAGGCUGGGAAUGCAGGGAAGCACUGGGAAUGCUGCAGGGAAAGGCUGGGAAUGCAGGGAAGCACUGGGAAUGCUGCAGGGAAAGGCUGGGAAUGCAGGGAAGCACUGGGAAUGCUGCAGGGAAAGGCUGGGAAUGCAGGGAAGCACUGGGAAUGCUGCAGGGAAAGGCUGGGAAUGCAGGGAAGCACUGGGAAUGCUGCAGGGAAAGGCUGGGAAUGCAGGGAAGCACCGGGAAUGCUGCAGGGAAAGGCAGGGAAGCACCGGGAACGCUGCAGGGAAAGGCAGGGAAUGCAGGGAAGCACCGGGAACGCUGCAGGGAAAGGCUGGGAAUGCAGGGAAGCACCGGGAACGCUGCAGGGAAAGGCUGGGCCCCAGCCGGGCUCUGAGGGACCCCGAGGGGCCGGAGCGCGGGGAUGGGGGCGACCUCCAGCAACCCCCAGAGCUCCGGCUGCCGGGAACCCGGGGAGAGACCCGGCUCAACGGAGAAGCAAGAGAAUCAGAAAACGCUAAAAAAAUGAGCGGAGACAGAAAAGAGGCGAGACCGCCCCAGACCCCUCCAGUGGCGGUGUCCCGCAGCACCGGCGCCCCCCCCCCCC